ensembl:snRNA U2 U2 spliceosomal RNA
GUAUCAUUUUAGUCUUUUGACUAAGAACAAGUGUACUAUCUCUUUUUGCCAGGUUUCCUGUUAUAUCCUCAGUAGGGGAAAGUAUAUUAAAUGGAUUUUUGGAAUUAUGAUAUUAAAAGAGAGAUCAUACCAUCCAGUCCACAUGUCAACCUUGGAGUACUGCCUGAAA